ensembl:ncRNA C45E1.8 ncRNA
AUGCUUAGGCUUAGGCUUAGGAUUAGACUUAGGCUUAGGCUUACGCGUAGUCUUUGGCUUAGGCUGAGGCUUAGGCUUAGACUUAGGCCUAG